UGUAAAGCUCUUUUGUCAGGGAAGAAACGGGGAUUCAUAAUACGAGUCCCUAAUGACGGUACCUGAAGAAUAAGCACCGGCUAACUACGUGCCAGCAGCCGCGGUAAUACGUAGGGUGCAAGCGUUAAUCGGAAUUACUGGGCGUAAAGCGUGCGCAGGCGGUUAUGUAAGACAGGUGUGAAAUCCCCGGGCUUAACCUGGGAAUGGCAUUUGUGACUGCAUGGCUAGAGUGUGUCAGAGGGGGGUAGAAUUCCACGUGUAGCAGUGAAAUGCGUAGAGAUGUGGAGGAAUACCGAUGGCGAAGGCAGCCCCCUGGGAUAACACUGACGCUCAUGCACGAAAGCGUGGGGAGCAAACAGGAUUAGAUACCCUGGUAGUCCACGCCCUAAACGAUGUCUACUAGUUGUCGGGUCUUAAUUGACUUGGUAACGCAGCUAACGCGUGAAGUAGACCGCCUGGGGAGUACGGUCGCAAGAUUAAAACUCAAAGGAAUUGACG
rnacentral:rRNA from 1 species